AUUGAACGCUGGCGGCAUGCCUUACACAUGCAAGUCGAACGGUAACAGGUUAAGCUGACGAGUGGCGAACGGGUGAGUAAUGUAUCGGAACGUGCCCAGUCGUGGGGGAUAACUGCUCGAAAGAGAAGCUAAUACCGCAUACGACCUGAGGGUGAAAGCGGGGGAGCGCAAGACGUCGCGCGAUUGGAGCGGCCGGUAUAAGAUUAGGUAGUUGGUGAGGUAAAGGCUCACCAAGCCGACGAUCUGUAGCUGGUCUGAGAGGACGACCAGCCACACUGGGACUGAGACACGGCCCAGACUCCUACGGGAGGCAGCAGUGGGGAAUUUUGGACAAUGGGCGCAAGCCUGAUCCAGCCAUGCCGCGUGCGGGAAGAAGGCCUUCGGGUUGUAAACCGCUUUUGUCAGGGAAGAAAAGGUUCUGGCUAAUACCUGGGACUCAUGACGGUACCUGAAGAAUAAGCACCGGCUAACUACGUGCCAGCAGCCGCAGUAA
rnacentral:rRNA from 1 species